rnacentral:misc_RNA from 1 species
UCGUGUCGGUGCCCCUCGCGUGGGUAGAAACACCACCCUAUGUAUACGUAUCUCGUUGCUUUGGCAGGCCGCCCCCGGGCGCUGGCUCCGGCCGGCCCGCGCCUGCCAGAGAGGCCCCCCAACCCUGAAUGUUAUAGUGUCGUCUGAGUACUAUCUAAUAGUUA